rnacentral:rRNA from 1 species
GAUGAACGCUGGCGGCGUGCCUAAUACAUGCAAGUAGAACGCUGAAGGAAGGAGCUUGCUCUUUCCGGAUGAGUUGCGAACGGGUGAGUAACGCGUAGGUAACCUGCCUGGUAGCGGGGGAUAACUAUUGGAAACGAUAGCUAAUACCGCAUAACAGUAGAUGUUGCAUGAUAUCUACUUAAAAGGUGCAAUUGCACCACUACCAGAUGGACCUGCGUUGUAUUAGCUAGUUGGUGAGGUAACGGCUCACCAAGGCGACGAUACAUAGCCGACCUGAGAGGGUGAUCGGCCACACUGGGACUGAGACACGGCCCAGACUCCUACGGGAGGCAGCAGGAGGGAAUCUUCGGCAAUGGACGGAAGUCUGACCGAGCAACGCCGCGGGAGUGAAGAAGGUUUUCGGAUCGUAAAGCUCUGUUGUAAGAGAAGAACGAGUGUGAGAGUGGAAAGUUCACACUGUGACGGUAUCUUACCAGAAAGGGACGGCUAACUACGUG